GCAGCCUCUCCUAGAGAAGAGGAUUGGCGCGGAGCUGGGAGCCGGCCGCAGCUUUCAGAGACAUACAUUGCCCUUGCCUUAGUUCAUCUGUAUCUCCUCAAACCCACCCCAGAGAAUAAAGUGGACGAUUUAGUUUGACCUGCAUGAGACCAGCAGACCUGCUGUGUUCAGUGCAUACCUUUUGUGCAUGAGGUGCGGAAAUGUGCAGCUACAGUUCUCUUUUCCUGUAAAACUCUAAUUCACCUCCCUUCUGGUGUAGACUCAUCAGUCUUCCAUGGCAGACCCAUCAGCCUCCUGAUGAAGACUUGCACGGAACAUUGCAGUGAACUCCAGACCUUGGACUGAAUCCUUCAGUCUCCAAUGUGCAGACACCCUCUGCACGCUUCUUCAUCUAAGUCUGUGGCUGACCAUCGAAGGCAAUCUUGUAACUUCUUAUGCAUUUGUUUAUCUUGUGUUAUAUCUGUUUCUUUAAUAAAACUCUGAUUGAUA